UACGUAGGGGGCUAGCGUUGUCCGGAAUCAUUGGGCGUAAAGCGCGUGUAGGCGGCUUGGCAAGUCAGUUGUGAAAGCCCGGGGCCCAACCCCGGAACUGCAUCUGAAACUGCCUGGCUCGAGUCCCGGAGAGGAAGGCAGAAUUCCCGGUGUAGGGGUGAAAUCCGUGGAUAUCGGGAGGAAUACCAGCGGCGAAGGCGGCCUUCUGGACGGUGACUGACGCUGAGACGCGAAAGCGUGGGGAGCGAACGGG
rnacentral:rRNA from 1 species